GGGUUAUAGUGGUUAAUUGUAGAUUAAAAUGGGCUAGGGUGGCAGGGGACUCAUAAUCCCUUGGUCGCAGGUUCGAAUCCUGCAGGGCCCACCA
rnacentral:tRNA from 1 species